UGCAAACGUUGUGUUGACUGUGAAUGGCAUUAUUUUAUUUUUGAUGAGUGUUCUAAUCACCCACGUUUCUUGCAUUACUUGGUACCGUUGUAGAUACACGUAGUAUAAAUACAUUAUGUGGAUAUCUACGUCAUCCUCAUGUUGAUAUCCUAAUCUUACAAAUGCUGUGAAGCAACUUUUCCUUGGUGUAGAUAGAGUGGCUCAAGUUUCUAUUGUGAAUAUAUAUAUAUAUAUAUUUUUUUAGAUAUGUAUUAUUUGUGUUGUAUAGAGCAGCUUCUUUUUGCAUUUCGUUGAGUACUCUGGCUACAAAUUCUUGGAUGCUCUUACUUUAUUUGAGUGUAACCCUUGGUGUUGAGAAGCGGAAGGUUUGCAAGCUGCGCAUCUUGUGUUGGAGCAUGGAAAGGCGUCGAGCACAAAUGGUGUAUACAAUUCACAAGGGUUUUUGAGUGACGAGGUGGUCCAACUGUUUUAAAAAGAAUUAUUGCCAAAUUACUCAAGAGAUGAGCAAUGGUGUGAGCUUGCAUCUUCAUCACAUUUGAGUGGUGGUACAUGCAUGAUCAAUUUUAGAGCAGAAUGAGGAGAGAAAGUUAAGAAAGAAGUGAAGGUAAAGGGGUUGACAUUGUUGAACGCAAUUGAGGAGUUGAGAGCGGCAGCCCAAUUUUUGUUUGCAAUGCCAAAGGUGGCAAUGACAAGGUUGAUGCUUCUUGGUUUGAUGAAGAUGCUUAAGGUUGGUGAUGAUGUGCUAAAAUUGUUGCGCCUAUUGCAAGCAAUGUGUGAAAAUUGGAGAGGAUGGCUGGUUGAGGAAGGUGGUAACUAGGUAGUUAAGGAGAUUAACAAGGAAGAGUUGUUGUCAUGUACUGCCCUAGUAGUUGCCAAUGAGUGGGACAAUUUGAUCAAAGCUUUUUAAUUGCAACAACAAAUAGAUGUAGAGUAUUAGGCAGAAGGUGAAGAUUCUAGUUAUUUCUAAGAUGCUUAAGGUGAUAGGUGAGGCAUUUCAGGUUGUGAGGUUUGAACUGUAGAGCUUUAGUGUAGGACAUAAGGUUUAGAGUUGCUCUAUGGUUUUUGAAGAGUCCUUUUCUCACAAACUUUGUAAAGAUAUUGGUUUUUGGUUGUAAAGAUCUUUUCAACAA